UGGGGAAUAUUGCACAAUGGGCGCAAGCCUGAUGCAGCCAUGCCGCGUGUAUGAAGAAGGCCUUCGGGUUGUAAAGUACUUUCAGUCGGGAGGAAGGUGGUAAGGUUAAUAACCUUAUCAAUUGACGUUACCGACAGAAGAAGCACCGGCUAACUCCGUGCCAGCAGCCGCGGUAAUACGGAGGGUGCAAGCGUUAAUCGGAAUUACUGGGCGUAAAGCGCACGCAGGCGGUCUGUCAAGUCGGAUGUGAAAUCCCCGGGCUCAACCUGGGAACUGCAUUCGAAACUGGCAGGCUAGAGUCUUGUAGAGGGGGGUAGAAUUCCAGGUGUGGCGGUGAAAUGCGUGGAGAUCUGGAGGAAUACCGGUGGCGAAGGCGGCCCCCUGGACAAAGACUGACGCUCAGGUGCGAAAGCGUGGGGAGCAAACAGG
rnacentral:rRNA from 1 species